rnacentral:rRNA from 1 species
UUAAGUUAUUAAGGGCGCACGGUGGAUGCCUUGGCACUAGAAGCCGAUGAAGGACGUUACUAACGACGAUAUGCUUUGGGGAGCUGUAAGUAAGCUUUGAUCCAGAGAUUUCCGAAUGGGGAAACCCAGCAUGAGUUAUGUCAUGUUAUCGAUAUGUGAAUACAUAGCAUAUCAGAAGGCACACCCGGAGAACUGAAACAUCUUAGUACCCGGAGGAAGAGAAAGAAAAUUCGAUUCCCUUAGUAGCGGCGAGCGAAACGGGAAGAGCCCAAACCAACAAGCUUGCUUGUUGGGGUUGUAGGACACUCUAUACGGAGUUACAAAGGACGACAUUAGACGAAUCAUCUGGAAAGAUGAAUCAAAGAAGGUAAUAAUCCUGUAGUCGAAAAUGUUGUCUCUCUUGAGUGGAUCCUGAGUACGACGGAGCACGUGAAAUUCCGUCGGAAUCUGGGAGGACCAUCUCCUAAGGCUAAAUACUCUCUAGUGACCGAUAGUGAACCAGUACCGUGAGGGAAAGGUGAAAAGCACCCCGGAAGGGGAGUGAAAUAGAACCUGAAACCGUGUGCUUACAAGUAGUCAGAGCCCGUUAAUGGGUGAUGGCGUGCCUUUUGUAGAAUGAACCGGCGAGUUACGAUUUGAUGCAAGGUUAAGCAGUAAAUGUGGAGCCGUAGCGAAAGCGAGUCUGAAUAGGGCGUUUAGUAUUUGGUCGUAGACCCGAAACCAGGUGAUCUACCCUUGGUCAGGUUGAAGUUCAGGUAACACUGAAUGGAGGACCGAACCGACUUACGUUGAAAAGUGAGCGGAUGAACUGAGGGUAGCGGAGAAAUUCCAAUCGAACCUGGAGAUAGCUGGUUCUCUCCGAAAUAGCUUUAGGGCUAGCCUCAAGUGAUGAUUAUUGGAGGUAGAGCACUGUUUGGACGAGGGGCCCCUCUCGGGUUACCGAAUUCAGACAAACUCCGAAUGCCAAUUAAUUUAACUUGGGAGUCAGAACAUGGGUGAUAAGGUCCGUGUUCGAAAGGGAAACAGCCCAGACCACCAGCUAAGGUCCCAAAAUAUAUGUUAAGUGGAAAAGGAUGUGGCGUUGCCCAGACAACUAGGAUGUUGGCUUAGAAGCAGCCAUCAUUUAAAGAGUGCGUAAUAGCUCACUAGUCGAGUGACACUGCGCCGAAAAUGUACCGGGGCUAAACAUAUUACCGAAGCUGUGGAUUGUCCUUUGGACAAUGGUAGGAGAGCGUUCUAAGGGCGUUGAAGCAUGAUCGUAAGGACAUGUGGAGCGCUUAGAAGUGAGAAUGCCGGUGUGAGUAGCGAAAGACGGGUGAGAAUCCCGUCCACCGAUUGACUGAGGUUUCCAGAGGAAGGCUCGUCCGCUCUGGGUUAGUCGGGUCCUAAGCUGAGGCCGACAGGCGUAGGCGAUGGAUAACAGGUUGAUAUUCCUGUACCACCUAUAAUCGUUUUAAUCGAUGGGGGGACGCAGUAGGAUAGGCGAAGCGUGCGAUUGGAUUGCACGUCUAAGCAGUAAGGCUGAGUAUUAGGCAAAUCCGGUACUCGUUAAGGCUGAGCUGUGAUGGGGAGAAGACAUUGAGUCUUCGAGUCGUUGAUUUCACACUGCCGAGAAAAGCCUCUAGAUAGAAAAUAGGUGCCCGUACCGCAAACCGACACAGGUAGUCAAGAUGAGAAUUCUAAGGUGAGCGAGCGAACUCUCGUUAAGGAACUCGGCAAAAUGACCCCGUAACUUCGGGAGAAGGGGUGCUCUUUAGGGUUAACGCCCAGAAGAGCCGCAGUGAAUAGGCCCAAGCGACUGUUUAUCAAAAACACAGGUCUCUGCUAAACCGUAAGGUGAUGUAUAGGGGCUGACGCCUGCCCGGUGCUGGAAGGUUAAGAGGAGUGGUUAGCUUCUGCGAAGCUACGAAUCGAAGCCCCAGUAAACGGCGGCCGUAACUAUAACGGUCCUAAGGUAGCGAAAUUCCUUGUCGGGUAAGUUCCGACCCGCACGAAAGGCGUAACGAUUUGGGCACUGUCUCAACGAGAGACUCGGUGAAAUCAUAGUACCUGUGAAGAUGCAGGUUACCCGCGACAGGACGGAAAGACCCCGUGGAGCUUUACUGUAGCCUGAUAUUGAAAUUCGGCACAGCUUGUACAGGAUAGGUAGGAGCCUUUGAAACGUGAGCGCUAGCUUACGUGGAGGCGCUGGUGGGAUACUACCCUAGCUGUGUUGGCUUUCUAACCCGCACCACUUAUCGUGGUGGGAGACAGUGUCAAGCGGGCAGUUUGACUGGGGCGGUCGCCUCCUAAAAGGUAACGGAGGCGCUCAAAGGUUCCCUCAGAAUGGUUGGAAAUCAUUCAUAGAGUGUAAAGGCAUAAGGGAGCUUGACUGCGAGACCUACAAGUCGAGCAGGGUCGAAAGACGGACUUAGUGAUCCGGUGGUUCCGCAUGGAAGGGCCAUCGCUCAACGGAUAAAAGCUACCCCGGGGAUAACAGGCUUAUCUCCCCCAAGAGUUCACAUCGACGGGGAGGUUUGGCACCUCGAUGUCGGCUCAUCGCAUCCUGGGGCUGUAGUCGGUCCCAAGGGUUGGGCUGUUCGCCCAUUAAAGCGGUACGCGAGCUGGGUUCAGAACGUCGUGAGACAGUUCGGUCCCUAUCCGUCGUGGGCGUAGGAAAUUUGAGAGGAGCUGUCCUUAGUACGAGAGGACCGGGAUGGACAUACCUCUGGUGUACCAGUUGUCGUGCCAACGGCAUAGCUGGGUAGCUAUGUGUGGACGGGAUAAGUGCUGAAAGCAUCUAAGCAUGAAGCCCCCCUCAAGAUGAGAUUUCCCAACUUCGGUUAUAAGAUCCCUCAAAGAUGAUGAGGUUAAUAGGUUCGAGGUGGAAGCAUGGUGACAUGUGGAGCUGACGAAUACUAAUCGAUCGAAGACUUAAUCAA